AUUAAUUGGGACCGGGGUCGAUUCGGAUAAUCGAAAAUUCGGAUAAUCGGACAUAGACUGGUAAUAAAGAAAAACGAACCGUCACACAUAGAAUAAACUUUAUUAAAUUUAACAAACUCAAUUCUACAAUAUGUAAGUAGUGCACUAGAGUUUCAACUUGUGACAACAAAACAAAACAAAACAAAAAUUACAUUACUUACUUACAGUGCUUGGUUUUAAUUUUUUAUAUUACGCUUAGGACCGAUUCGGAUAAUUGGCGAUUCGGUUAAUCGGCGUUCGGAUAAUCGGCGUUCUACUGUAUAAUAAAAUUUUUAAUUUUUCACUGUA